GGGGGAUUCGCAUAGCGGCAAUUGCGGCGGACUGUAAAUCCGCUCCUUCGGGUUCGUAGGUUCGAGUCCUACAUCCCCCA
rnacentral:tRNA from 1 species